AGAUUGAACGCUGGCGGCGUGCUUAACACAUGCAAGUCGAGCGGUAACGCGGGAGCAAUCCUGGCGACGAGCGGCGAACGGGUGAGUAAUGCUUGGGAAUCUGCCCAUUAGUGGGGAACAACCAGCCGAAAGGUUGGCUAAUACCGCAUACGCCCUACGGGGGAAAGCGGGGGCUCGUAAGACCUCGCGCUAAUGGAUGAGCCCAAGUCGGAUUAGCUUGUUGGUAGGGUAACGGCCUACCAAGGCGACAAUCCGUAGCUGGUCUGAGAGGACGACCAGCCACACUGGGACUGAGACACGGCCCAGACUCCUACGGGAGGCAGCAGUGGGGAAUAUUGGACAAUGGGGGAAACCCUGAUCCAGCGACGCCGCGUGUGUGAAGAAGGCCUGCGGGUUGUAAAGCACUUUUAGUGGGGAUGAAAAGCCUAGGGUUAACACCUCUGGGUCUUGACCUAACCACAGAAAAGCACCGGCUAACUCUGUGCCAGCAGCCGCGGU
rnacentral:rRNA from 1 species